CAGCUUCCCUAAGAAAACAAAAAAAACAAAAAAUAAUUCCAGCUUCCAAGCAGGGUCAGCAGUCCAUAACUGCCGCAUGCGCCACAUGACAGAAACCAGUACAGGCCACCUCACCUCAAGCGACAUACACAAUCCCGCUCCUAUAAGACUAGAGUACAUGAUCUCGAAAAAAAAAAGAGUACAUGACUACAUGGAGGAGAGCCACACAUGCUGCCAGACAGAAAAACAUCGACCAGACCGGGCACAUCAAUGGACGCACCGGUGGCGUCUGAGCAGGUUCGAGAAAUCCAGCCGCUGCACACAAGGACCAUCUCCUCAUCAGCUCCACGCUGCCAAACUCCUGCCUGCCAGCAGUAAUCAGCUUGAAGGAACGGAUGGGGGACGCAUCACCAGCUCAUGGAUACUCCUCCAUCUCUGCAAUUCAACCCAGUGCCAGCACCAGUACCCCCUGGUGAAAACAAAAAAAGGCUCUGCGCACCUGAAAUGCUGCACAACAUGUUUAUUACCCGUUAUUUGUCUUCCGCCGUCAAGACUGGACUGGCGCGCCACCGAAGCCACUGACAGGCGCAAUCUCGUUAAGGUGGAGGAAUCGUCUCCCAGCAACUUUGCUCUCUUCCCUGCCAGGAGCGUGCAUCUUCACUAUGUGGAGCAGUCGCUGCUCUUGACUUUUUAUUGAGGUCUUUGCACUGUCUGGUGCAUCAGAGCUGGCAUCUGGAUCCAGUGCAUUCGGUUCGCCUGGCUUUCCCAAUUCGGUAUCUCUACCAGAGUGCCGCUGAUGGUUCAUAUGGGGCCGCGUGGAACGCUUAUUGCGCUUGAUGCCUGUUUGGAUCACAUCCAUAGAUUUCAGUUUGGCCCCUUGAGGACUGCGAGUUGGCAGUCUCUUGGACCGUUGAAUCCCCUCUUCAUCUUCACUGCUCAAAGAAUACUCCGCUUGGUCUUCCGAUCGAAACUCUCCAUCGUACUCUGAAGUACUUGCCUUGGGUUGUUUUCGACUUCUAAGAUACUCCUCGUCAUAGACAGCUUCGCCCAUGAUAUCGUCAUCACUGUCAAAGUUCGUGUCGAUGUCCGAGACAUUCUCAACAAAGUCCGUUGUGUAUCUUUGAGAUCUUUUUCUUUGACGAGACCUAUAAUUUGAACAAUGCAUGUGCGUGUUUAUAUGCUGAUAUAAGCUUUGGCAGAGGAUCAGCUCAACAUCAAGAGUUAAAGGAGUUACCUACGAUCAAGGGUCUCAGCCUUUUCCUCACCACCACUCCCUUGGUAGCUAUAUGACUUCAGUGGAGAUUCUUCACGCCGUCCAUUACAUACAGGUGAGGGUCCAGCUAACGUACCAUUACUUGAUGCCUCUCGUGUUGGGACAAGUACUCCUCUGUUGGUAGUGGCAACGACCUGAACCGGGUUCUCACUUUUCCUGUCAAUAUAAGAGUACAGAAACUUGUGUCAUGAGUUUCGUUGUUUAUAAAAAAUCCUUUAAUGGAACUAUGGAGCGUAGAUGAUUCACCUACUUUAUUGCUUUUAGGGCCUCAUUUAUUGAACGGUCAUAAUCAUCUGCAUGGUAAGGAAAGAGUUUCUCGUUAGGAGAACAGUAAAUCUGUAUAUACCUUUGAUCUUGUUCCAAUGGGAACUAUGAAUACCCAAUGCAAAAAAUGGCAUGGAAAUUUUAUUUAGUCAAAAAGAUUUUUAUGUACAAUUGCAGUGGUAUCAUAACUUCAGUAGAGGGGUUUAUACAAGUUACUGGGAAUAGCUUGCUGACAUUUAUUAUUCAUCAAGUGCUGAGACAUUACAGAUACCUUUCUUAAAGCAUAUCAGUAAGAACAGCUAGUCAGCUACAGAAAGUGCAUCCCAACUUAACUAUUCUUCUGCGCAUAAUGAACUAGCGAGACAACAGAUUUACAACUAUGUAACUAAGCUUAGCAAGUUCAGACAUUAUUGACAUGACACUUAUGUGCACAGUAUUGCACAUAUGAAGGUGCGGAUGAAAGCCUUUAUAGAAGCUAGCCCUAAUUCAGGCCGCGCUCAACCAAAAUAAAGAUAAGAAUCCUAUUGCUAGGAAGUUGGCAAUUAGUUUCUGUUUGAUAGGCUACGAUUAGUUUAUGGUUGUUAAGGUACUCUACCCAUCCAAUGUACUGCCACAUGCCAUUUGAAGAUAGGCAAGAAUCAAUAAACAAAAGAAGGUCAUUCUCAUCCCUGAUCUCUUCUCUACCAAAGAAAGCUGUGCAGCCCUUCCAUCUUCUCGAUCAUUACGGUGAUGCUAAAGCAUGAAAUGCCAAUGAAACAUCUAAUGUGAAGGGUUGGCUAAAUGAACAAGAAACUAUAACAGCCGGUAAACACGUAAUGGAGGAAAUGCUACCAUAUUAGGACAACUAAUUAAUAGCAGUGUUAACUUUAGUCUUAAGCUUACCGAAAGUAUAGGUGACACGCUUUCUUUCACGAUGGGAGCGGCCAGAGGUGAAUCUAUCAAAGGUCAAGUAGCUAUUAAGGAGAAGGGCUUCUCUUUGUUGCUUUUUUAGCAGCUUCUCCUUCUUCUGCAAGAGGAUUUCUCACACGUUAAAUAGGCAGUUAUUCUACUCUAGGCAGAUAAUUUGAACUCCUUUAGAGGAGCAGUUGAAUACCUUGUGAGUCUUUUCCAUCUCUGGGAGAUAAUUGAGCUUCAACUUCUUUCCAAGUGAGACCUCUGUCCUGUUACUACUUGAAAAGAGUUUUUCCUACGUAUAAGAUUGACAGAAAAUAACUAAUAUCAGUGAACUUCCAUAGAAUUUUCGUAAGAGUAAGAGAUCUAACACUACUUCACAAAAUCUUUUAUGCCAUUUGAUGCCAAAAGUUCACAUUUUUAUUUGGGUAAGCUCUUCCGGUGCGUCUCUCACUAAAGUCAGUAACCUUUGAUGUACUUGGGGACCUUAGUUAUCUCUGCCCACAGCAUUAGAUGGUUGCAGAUGUCGGAAUAUUACAUAGGGCAUUGUAAGGUGGACACCUGACAGAGCACACUUUUGCACAUGCUCGUAUCCUCCCUCCCUCUCAGUUAUGUUGCACAACAUGCACCAACAAAUAGUUAAAUACUGGAGUACAUGUUAAUGUUAUCUAAAUUGGUUCUGGAAGGCCCUUGAUCCAUUCUGUCAUUAAUUUAAUCUUGUCGCGAACAUGUCACACAAGAAUCAAAACCAGCAAUAUCUAAGAAAAGCAAGCCCAAGUGUGAAUAGUUGCCACCAAGCUACUAAUGAUACACAAGCACAGAGAUUGACCAAUUAAUUGAUCCUGUUUCCAUGCAUGCUCAAUAUGCUUUUCAGAGAAAAUCAUGCCAGUACCAUGCAUCAGUAGCAACAGAAGAUGUCAAAUGAUGCUCACAGAAAGCGCAUUUGCCUUAUGGGUGCUACUGUGUGCGUGUAAGUGUGUCUGAUUCAACUCCAUUCAGAGGAACAAUUCCAGGACUCCAUUCAGUAACAGGGGACCUAAAAAACGCAUAUGAUUAACUCGAAAGUUUAAACUUACUGCUGCUGCUUCAAAUUCAACAAAGUUUGUCGCGACAGUCUCCCACUGAUAGGAUACAACUGGAACACCUAAGAACCCCUUUCGUUUAGAUUUUCUUGUUUGCUCCUUCACAUACUCCACUUGUCUAAUUUCACGAUAUAAUCGAUGCCCGAGAAUCGGAUCUUCAUCAUACCUAUAGUGCAUUAGUUGAUUAGAAUUGACCUUGGCCACAACAAGGUGCUUAAGAUUCAUUUCAGAAUUAAAAGUUGUCUUUUACCCACCAGUAUGAGAUUCCAUGGGAAUCUCCCCCAAUUCGUUCUUUGCAGAAAUCACGGAGCUGAUAACCCUUUUUUAGACAACUAUCUACGAAGAUCCGAACAUCCUCUUGCUGCAAAAUAACUGGAUCCUAUCAGUUAAUAUGUCAACAAUUAUUUAUCAAUCUUGAAGCACUCAUGACCAGAAAACUUAAGGAUGACAUUUGCAGCUAGUUGUAGACAUCUCUUAACAAUUACAAACAUGAAGAUAUUGGGAGCAUUUACAUGCUCACAGAGGUGUUGUACACACAUGGGAGAUACAACAAAACACUUCCUGGGCCUUGCUAGGAACCACAUAUUUCAUUCACACAGGAUUACAUAAAAAAUAUGUCAUUAAAUCCAUUACCACUCACAGUUUAACAUGUGGAGAUGAAAUAUGUCCAGAAAGAGAUGUUUAAAAUAGCAGGCAAUUGAUGCCACUGUUCUAAACAGCGGUUAGUGAACAUUCAGAGAAUCACUAAUCGCUUAUGCAGAUUAGCAGACUCGAUAUGCAAUUGAGUAAUGAAUACUAAUCACUGAUCAUAUGUUUAGAUAACUGUAAGUUGCAUGCCCAGACCUAUCACUAGGCUGCAAACAUAUGCAUUAUUAAAUUUGACUUUUGCAAGUACAUUAGGCAGCUUUUAAUAACAUAUACAAGCAUUCCUAGGUAACUUGACCACAGAUAUUACUGACUAUUUAGCAGGAGGCCAACUACAAGUAACCUUUCAUAGUUUAAAUGCAGACGAAGUACCAACAUUCGUAUGUUAACAUUAGCUGCUAGAUAAACAACCUAGAAUGUGGGUUUUGUUUCAUAUGAUAACAUAACACUGUGAGGUCACCACUAUCACUGCAAAUGUUCCACACGAAAAUUAGGGGCACACACCUCACAACGUAUGUCACAUAUUGCUUUCAGGAUCAUUAAUCGAGUCGCUGGCUCAAGUUCCUUGUACGUUUCAAUUUCCGCUCUGAGAAACGAAUAACAGUAAGCCAUCCAAUAUUCAAUUGUAGCAAGGGAUUCAGGUCAGGAAUUACUUGCUUAAAGAACUCACCCAUGUGAGGCAACGAUUGGUAGAUUGCCUUCUGCAACCUGAAGAUCAGACCUUUUAUUUAGCUCAUUAAGCAAACACAGUACUACCCCUAGUACAAAAUUAUUCUUGACAAUGAAAAAUCGCAUACCAGAUGCCACCAGUCCUUCAAUUUUCUACAUAACACUGUCACCCAUUUUCCGUCUGCCAUGGACAUUCGAGCUACAGGAGGAAUCGACUGCAAAAUGCAAAUAAGGAGCAUCAAGAAGCUAUGUAUAAUAUUUGACAAGCUUAUCAAUUAUCAUUUGAAUACUGGUUCUAAGUAAGAGAAUGUGUGAUGUUGUUGCAACAUUCCCAACAUCAUGCUCACCCUUAAUAGCGGCACAUGCAAGUAUUCCAACGUGCCAUUAGGCACUAGGAUGGCGUCCUCCAGCUCCUCCGCCGUGAACUCCACCGCGAUGUUCAGCAAUGGCCGGAACACCUGCAGCUCCGGAGCAGAGCAACCACGCCGAAGGUCAAACUCCAAAUGCUAAACCCUAAACCCUAGAGGAGAAGGCCUAGGCAGCGGAAUACGAUCGGGAGCGCUCACCUGGAGGAAGUUGAGGACGGAGGCGAGCUCCCACAUGCACCGCAGCCUCCACCGCGGCAGCUCGCCGGGGUCCGCGGGCUCCGCGACCAGCGGCGUCACCACGCGGCAUUGCGGCGCCUCCGGCUCCGCCUCCUCGCGCUCCUCCUCCGCGAUCUUCCUCGGGCGGCCCGGGCCCGGCCGCCGCGGCGGGGGCGCGGGCGGCGCGAGGGGGCGGCUGCACGCGCGCGGCGGGCGCGUCCUCCUCGCCGGCGGCGCCGCGGCCUCCGCCUCCGCGGGCGGGGGUUCGUGCGGGGGAUCCUGCUCCGGCGGCGAGGAGGCGGCCAUCUCCGGCGAGAUUUUCGCGGCGGAGCGUCGGAUCGGCGGCGAGGGGCAGGGUCGGGAGGGGAGGGGGCAGGGCCGGUCACGGGCUCACGGGGAAAAGGGGAGGAGUGAGGGGGCAGAAAGGGNNNNNNNNNNNNNNNNNNNNNNNNNNNNNNNNNNNNNNNNNNNNNNNNNNNNNNNNNNNNNNNNNNNNNNNNNNNNNNNNNNNNNNNNNNNNNNNNNNNNNNNNNNNNNNNNNNNNNNNNNNNNNNNNNNNNNNNNNNNNNNNNNNNNNNNNNNNNNNNNNNNNNNNNNNNNNNNNNNNNNNNNNNNNNNNNNNNNNNNNNNNNNNNNNNNNNNNNNNNNNNNNNNNNNNNNNNNNNNNNNNNNNNNNNNNNNNNNNNNNNNNNNNNNNNNNNNNNNNNNNNNNNNNNNNNNNNNNNNNNNNNNNNNNNNNNNNNNNNNNNNNNNNNNNNNCCGGACCGGGUCAUCAUGGCUCAAUCAUCACGCGGUGACAUAGAUAUGGUGAUCCCAUAAACCAAGUCUAGUGCUACUGCUGCUGCCCAGGGAACAAGCCACAAAUCUUCAAAACCUGGAAAGACAAAUGAACAUGUCAUUAAGUUUACGCUUUGAUUCGAAAAGCAGAGAAAAAAAGCCCAAAAUGAUAGUAAACUGUAAAUCCAAGCCGUGUUGGAGUCCGUCCAGCCGACCCAAAUGGACAAAAGGCAGGCAAGAUUCAUGUUCGAAUGAGUCGCCGCGUUGGAGUUGGUCGUAGGAACGAUUGUCAGCUAUAGAGAUCACUAAAAUACAUGAGGAACAGUCUUGAAUCUCUGUGGGAUGGGCGGCGGCGGUACCAGGCGCGUCGUGUCCUCCUUGGAGGCGCCGCCUGGGGAAGUUUGGUGCUUUGGUGUGUGCAGCAGUUGCAGGUGGCGUCUCUUAUGUGCAGGUUUCAGAUCCAGCGACAAGUAGCUUUGCGGUGGCAUUUAGCAAUGCCCUCGAGCCUUGGCGGAAGGGGAUUGGGUUCCCCUUCCCCUGUGACCGCAUCGCUGCAAGUGCCAAGGUUCCUCUUCAACUCGUUCGUCUGUACCUCGGUCCUAAUUUCGCCAUGUGGCUUGGCAGCUCCUUUCUUUCGACGACUCUCCCGGCGGCUUACCCUCUUUCAUCGACAUGUGCCUUGGCAGCUCCUUCCUUUCGGCGACUCUCCCGGUGGCUUACGCUCUCAGUGUAUGCAGUGUAGCUUGUUGUGUGUGUGUGUGUGUGUCGGCAAACAAGCAAACAAGCACACACGAGAAUAUUCACCCCACGCUAUUGCUCCCCGGCAACGGCGCCAGAAAAAGGUCUUGAUAACCCAAAAGUAUAAGGAAUCGUUUGUAGCCUUCUUGGAUAAAUAAGAGUGUCGAACCCAACGAGGAGCUAAAGGCAGACAAAUAUUCCCUCAAGUUCUAUCGACCACCGAUACAACUCUACGUACACUUGACGUUUGCUUUACCUAAAACAAGUAUGAAACUAUUUUGCAAGAAUAAAACUAUGAGUACUUUGCGAGAAUAAAAUUACGAAUAAAUUGCAAGGUAAUAAAAGUGGAUAGCUUUUGUCAACAAGAAAGUCAUUUGUCCUAGGCAAUCGAUAACAAGUACCGGUAAUCAUUCUUGCAAUUUUAUAUGAGGAAGAGGCAUGAGCUAACAUACUUUCUCUACUUGGAUCAUAUGCACUUAUGAUUGGACCCCUAGCAAGCAUCCGCAACUACUAAAGAUCAUUAAGGUCACGAAACCCAACCAUAGCAUUAAGUAUCAAGUCCUCUUUACUCCCAUACGCCAUAACCCACUUAUCUGCGUUUAGGCUGCUGUCACCCCCGCAACACCGACAAUAAGCAAACCAUGAACAUAUUGCAACACCCUACAGCGAGGACCCCUCACUUUUGCGCGAGAACGGAGGGCACCGUAGGACAGCAUCAUAAAUAAAAUAUACAAUCAUACCAACCAAGAUCACGAUUAACCCACAGAACAAAACGGAUCUACUCAAACAUCAUAAGAUAACCAUAGAUCAUUGCGAAAUAAUAUAUGGAGUUGAGCACCAUGUUUAAAUAGAGAUUACAGCAGGGGGAAGGGGUGUUACACCGCUGCAUAGAGGGUGAGAAAGUUGGUGUUGACGGAUGUAGAUUGCCGUCACGAUCCUAGCCCCGGCGGCACUCCGGCGCCACCGGGAGAGGGGGGGAGAGAGCCCCCCUCCUUCUUCUUCUUCCUUGGCCUCCCCCUAGAUGGGAGGAGAGUUCCCCCUCUGGUCCAUGGUCUCCAUGGUGGCGGAGGGGCAGGAGCCCCUCCGAGAUUGGAUCUCCCUCUCUGUUCCCCUCUGUUUUGCGUUCUCAGAUCUGGUCGAAAACCGUUUCUUAUAUUCCGGGAGAUCCGUAACUCCGACUGCGCUGAGAUUUUAAGACGAUUUUUUCCAGAUAUAAGCUUCCUUGCACCCGAAGUAGAGCGCCAACCGACGUACGAGGUGAGCACAACCCACCACCGCGAGCCAGGCUUCUCUGGCGCGCCGUGGUGUCUUCUGGGCUGUGUGGGCCUCCGUUUGCGGUGAUUCCAACUCCAAAAAUCACAUAUAUUCCAAAAUAAUUCUCCAUAAAAUUUUAUUGCAUUUGGACUUCGUUUGAUAUGGAUUUUCCGCGAUACAAAAAACAUGCAAAAAACAGAAAUUUGCACUGGGCACUGGAUCAACAGGUUAGUCCAAAUAAAUCGUAUAAAAUGUUGCCAAAAGUAUGUAAAAGUUGUAUAAUAUUGGCAUGAAACAAUCAAAAAUUAUAGAUACGACGGAGACGUAUCAUGCUGGCUACAGUUUUUAGUUGGGUCAUCAUCAUUAUGCAUAAAACUGGUUCCUUUGUUUCGUCCUGAAUAAUAAGACAUCAUUGAUCGCACCAGCAUUUUGUUUCCUCUGAGCUUAGAAGCUGCACAGAAAGCUGAAGCAGCUCAGAAGCAUAAGAUUUUUCAUCGAGGACUACACAUGUGUCAUGUGUGAUCAGCAAGUUUUGGAGACACGAGAUCACUUGGUCCUUCAUCGUCCCUUCGCCAAACUAUGUUGGCAAUACAUCUGCCCCAGUUGGUGUCCCCUUCGCCAAACUAUGUUGGCAAUGCAUCUGCCCCAGUUGGUGUCCCCUUCUCCAAACUAUGUUGGCAAUACAUCUACCCUAGUUGGUGUCCCCUGUCUGCAGGUAUUCAAGAUCAGCUCAGUCAGUUAGUUCGCCUGCUCAAUCUUCCAUUUGCAAUGGAUGUCAUCAUACUGAUUGCUUGGGCCAUUUGGAACACGAGGAAUGCAUAUGUUUCCAGAAGGGGGUUAUCCCCAGUCUCUUUGCCUGCAGACGUAGGUUCAGGGAGGAGCUUCAGUGGUUACUUCUAAGAGCAAAGAGAAAAUCUUAUGCUACUCUGCCAGAUUGGGUUCAGACUUUCAGAUAAGCAGAGCAGAGCAGGGCUUUCACAGAUUCCAUAUCGCGGAGAUCAGCACUGUGGAAUGAACUUUUGCAAAGAUGAGAGCCGUCCCAAAGAUGACAAACCCUGCAACAACUGACUAUUAUUCGAUUAUUAUUCAUUCCAAUGCGGACAUCCGUUCUUAAUCUGAAAUGGUAGAACUGUCCGACCCAAACACAUUUAAUCAGUUCCCUAGGAGGGGGUUGGCAAGCAAACGCAUUUUGCUGAUAGUUUUAGUCGCGACGUGAGAUCAAACGGUGACAUUUUAGAAGAAACAUGCCUUUCUCUGAAGAAACCAUCAUAUUGUUCUGAAGAAAAUGUCCAGCAAAUCUAAAGAAACAAUCAGCAAAAGCGCUCACAAAUAUCAUCCAUGCCAUGGAACGCUUGCAAAUAUCAUCCCUCCUAUCAAACGUUCGCCAGUUAUUGCGGUCCUUAAUCAUUUUAAAUUUUAACACAGACACCCGAACUAUAUCCAUACAAUCAAAAUCCCUCAAUCUUGAAGGUCGAAGCAGAGGGAUCCGAGCGUGACGUCUACCACGUCGAUACUACAGCUCGGCCCCUCCUCCCUUUCAAACCAGCCCUCCUUCCCACUCUGAUCUCAACUCCAACGUACGAGCCGUUUCUUCUGGGUGUGUCUGUUUGGGUUUAAACGUACAAAUCCGACGGUCCAACGCAGCGAUCCAUCCCAUUUUCUUGUUUGCUUUGUGUCCAUUCGAACCCAUUUUUGUCCCAAAUUUGCUUACGGUUUGCGUCCAAAAAUACAAACACGCCUGCCCGCGCCUCCGCCCAUGCGCAAGCGUGGGCGGCGCGGUGCGGGCGCCGGUUAGGAGCAGCGGGCGCUCAGGGCAGCGUGGGCGGGUCAAUGGGGGCGGCAAGGCGCAGGCGCGAGACAGGAGCAACGCGGCCUCAGCCCACGCUCGCCAUAGCGGGGGGUCUGCUGCGUCGCCGACCACGCCGGGGCAUCUCAGGCGGUUGUACAGGGAGCGCCAAGUUGGGCUGCUGCUGCUGCGGAUGUGCAUCUCACCAAUGGAGCAGCCCCCACUCGGUGUUCGAAGAAAUGCCAAAUGGAGAAGCGCUGUUGGGUAGAUAUGCUCUGUCCGGGCGCGUUCGUUUGUCCGUUGUGCGUUUUUUCUAACCUACACGGACAAGCGGUCAUGCAUCGGAGCUGGCCUCCCUCGACAAGUCCCUCGGAGCAACUCCAACGCAUCGACCCAAACUGACGCAUAUUUUGUCCGUUUUUUAUCCGUUUUGGCCGGCUGCCCGCUCGUCGUCCGCCCGUGUUCGGACCAGUGCACCCAACCAGCCAACCCAUUUCUCGUCCGCAUAGAACACAAUUUGAACUUAAAAAAGCCCGCGGCCAAAGACCAUGCCAGCAGCCAUGCCAUCAUCCACAGUUCAUGUCGCCGGCCAUGUCAGUGGACGACAUACAUGUCAGCCUCCAAAAAGAAGCAUGCGGUUCAUGCUAGCGCACUUGCCAGUGGCCGCCACACAUGCCAGCACACAAAAAGGGCGGGAGUUCAACCAUACCAUCACGGUCGUGGUCAUGCCGGCACACUUGCCAGCAUACAAAAAAAGAUGGCGCUCUCCGCCAUAGAUCACUCGUCAUCAAGUUUGAGCAUGUCGGUCUGCAUCUUCUUGAACCAAGGCCUCUUCCUCGGGGACACCGUGCUCAAGUCCACCUUCAUGAUAUCCACCCCCUCAUCAUGCAAGAGAGUGUCACUUCUUUUGCUUUGGUCUUGGCUUUGCUAGCCUCGAUCUCGAGCAUCUUUGUUUGCUUCUCCGCCUCCAUCUCGAGCUUCUACCUUUGUAUCUCCAUGAAGGCCUUCAUUUGCUCUUUUUUGUCUUGCCGACGCUUCUCCUCCCUUGUAUCCUUGUCAGUCAUCAUGUCUUGCAAAGUUUCUUGCAAGGCAAUCAACGCCGCAUCACGCUUUUCCUCUUUCUUGGAGUUGUUCUUUCCCCGCAGUCGCGACUUCUCUCCCUCACCAUGCUCCUCGAUGGCUUUCAGCCCUCCACGUGCUUUGAGGGCGGCAUAUUGCUCCUUGAACUUCUUGCCCCCUUUUAUGACCAUGCAACAAUAGGUGAGGUUGAACGACGUGUUCCCAUGUUGGGCCGAAUGCUAUUAAAGCUUGGAAUACCUACAAAUGAAGAGCAUGCAAGCAUAUGAAGCAAAAUGGACAUGCAAUCAUGAAACAACGGAAAUGAAGAUGGAGGAAUGUAUACCAUGUCUUUGAUGCCGAGGCCACCCACGAGAUGACCUGCACAAUACUUGUUGCACUCUUGUUGUAUCACCCUCCAACGCUUCGAGAGGUACACCCACCCAUGCUUUGUCUCCAUCUUGUAUGACACGGACUUCUUGCAUUCAUGAUUCGCGAUGAACUCUUAACCAAAAGGUUGAUGCCUUUUGCUCGGCGCGGAUCUUGGGCUCCUGUCCAAUGUCCCUUCAACAUUCACAAAGGAGUUUGUCCUCAUCUUUGUGUAUGCCUUCAUCUGAAUGCUUUGGUGCUUCUUGUUUGCAUUGGCUUGGGUGGCGAGGUCGUUGUCAAAAGACAAAGGCUCCCCUUCGAUGGCCACUUCAUCAUCUUCUUCUAGGUCGUAGUCUUCCGGGAACUCGUGGUUUUGCAGGAAAGUGUUGCCCAUGCCAUCUUGGCCUUGCGUGAAGGGGUCGGUCGUGCCUCCAUGGCCUUGAGCAAAGGUGUCGGCCGUGCCCUCGUGGCCGGGCCAUGAAGGGCCCUUGGCCAUCUUGGCUUUGGGUCUCGUCGAGAUGGAAGGCCGCGCCACCCACACCGGCUUCGAAGAUGAUAUUCUCCAUGAAGAAACGGUUGGCCGUCUUGUCGUCCAUGACCGGCAUUGUGUCGGAUUGGUUGCGGGCAUCGGGGAUCUACCACGGGCAUUUGCUCUGGCCCCAAGUGGACGAUCCACCGGCCACAGGUGUGGCAUUGAGGUCGAUGGCCAUGGACGCAGGUGUGGCCGGCGCGACCACGCUCACCUCCGGCGAACCGGAGCCCGGAGAGGUGGAGAAACGGGAGGCUUGCGGGUGGGGAUGGAAGCCGGGCGUCUGCGGCGUGGUGGACGUGUGUGGCGACUUUGACACUGGCGGAUGAAUGGCUGACGAGCCCGUGCUAGCCGCGGCCACGGUGGUAGCGGCGAGCCUGUGCUGGCCUGGGUUUAACCCUAGGUAGAGUAGGGCCUCCCUCGUGGCCGCCAAGACGAGGAGGUUAUUCUCCGCGAUGGUGGCCUCUUGUUGUGCAGACGCGGCUUCGAGCUUGACGGCCUACACCUUCCUCUUGGCCGACUACAUAGCCCGCUGCGCGUUCGUCAGCUCCUUCUUCUUGGUCGGUGCCGCGGGGCUUGCCUUUGGCAGAGGUGAGGCCGGCGGCGGCGGCGAGGAUCUGCGCGUCAUCCAUGGCGAGCAGGAAAAUUGGGGUCGUUGUGCCACAUGAAGGAAAUAUGCCCUAGAGGCAAUAAUAAAGUUGUUAUUUGUUUUCCUUAUAUCAUAAAUGUUUAUUAUUCAUGCUAGAAUUGUAUUAACCGAAAACUUAGUACAUGUGUGAAUACAUAGACAAACAGAGUGUCACUAGUAUGCCUCUACUUGACUAGCUCGCUGAAUCAAAGAUGGUUAAGUUUCCUAGCCAUAGACAUGAGUUGUCAUUUGAUUAACGGGAUCACAUCAUUAGAGAAUGAUGUGAUUGACUUGACCCAUUCCGUUAGCUUAGCAUUUGAUCGUUUAGUAUAUUGCUAUUGCUUUCUUCAUGACUUAUAUAUGUUCCUAUGACUAUGAGAUUAUGCAACUCCCGAAUACCGGAGGAACACUUUGUAUGCUACCAAACAUCACAACGUAACUGGGUGAUUAUAAAGGUGCUCUACAGGUGUCUCCGAUGGUACUUGUUGAGUUGGCAUAGAUCAAGAUUAGGAUUUGUCACUCCGAUUGUCGGAGAGGUAUCUCUGGGCCCUCUCGGUAAUGCACAUCACUAUAAGCCUUGCAAGCAAUGAAACUAAUGAGUUAGUUGCGGGAUGAUGCAUUACGGAACGAGUAAAGAGACUUGCCAGUAACGAGAUUGAACUAGGUAUUGAGAUACCGACGAUCAAAUCUCGGGCAAGUAACAUACCGAUGACAAAGGGAACAACGUAUGUUGUUAUGCGGUUUGACCGAUAAAGACCUUCAUAGAAUAUGUAGGAGCCAAUAUGAGCAUCCAGGUUCCGCUAUUGGUUAUUGACCGGAGAUGAGUCUCGGUCAUGUCUACAUAGUUCUCAAACCCGUAGGGUCCGCACGCUUAACGUUCGGUGACGAUCGGUAUUAUGAGUUUAUGUGUUUUGAUGUACCAAAGGUAGUUCAGAGUCUCGGAUAUGAUCACGGACAUGACGAGGAGUCUCGAAAUGGUCGAGACAUAAAGAUCGAUAUAUUGGAAGCCUAUAUUUGGACAUCGAAAUAGUUCCGAGUGAAAUUGGGAUUUUACCGAGUACUGGGAGGUUACCGGAACCCCCCGGUAAGUGUAUGGGCCUUAUUGGGCCAUAGUGGAGAGAGAGAGAGGAGACCAGGGGAGGCCGCUGAUACGUCUAUUUUGCAUCAUGCUUUUAUAUCGAUAUUUAUUGCAUUAUGGGCUGUUAUUACACGUUAUGUCACAAUACUUAUGCCUAUUCUCUCUUAUUUUACAAGGUUUACAUGAGGAGGGAGAAUGCCGGCAGCUGGAAUUCUGGGCUGGAAAAGGAGCAAAUAUUAGAGACCUAUUCUGCACAACUCCAAAAGUCCUGAAACUCCACGAAAGUUAUUUUUGGAAAUAAUAAAAAAUAUUGAGCGGAAGAAGUACGUCAGAGGGGGCCCCACCUGGCCACGAGAGUGGGGGCGCGCCCUACCCCCCAGGGCGCGCCCCCCUGCCUCGUGGGCCCCCUGUUGGCUCUUCGGUGGCCAUCUUCUACUAUAUGAAGUCUUUCGUCAAGGGAAAAAUCAUAAGCAACCUUUCGGGACGAGACUCCGCCGCCACGAGGCGGAACCUUGGCGGAACCAAUCUAGGGCUCCGGCAGAGCUGUUCUGCCGGGGACACUUCCCUCCGGGAGGGGGAAAUCAUCGACAUCGUCAUCACCAACGCUCCUCUCAUCAGGAGAGGGCAAUCUCCAUCAACAUCUUCACCAGCACCAUCUCUUCUCAAAACCCUAGUUCAUCUCUUGUAUCCAAUUCUUGUCUCCAAGUCCGGGAUUGGUACUAGUAGGUUGCUAGUAGUGUUGAUUACUCCUUGUAGUUGAUGCUAGUUGGUUUAUUUGGUGGAAGAUCAUAUGUUCAGAUCUUAUAUGCAUAUUAAUACUCCUCUGAUUAUGAACAUGAAUAUGCUUUGUGAGUAGUUACGUUUGUUCCUGAGGACAUGGGAGAAGUCUUGCUAUUAGUAGUCAUGUGAAUUUGGUAUUCGUUCGAUAUUUGGAUGAGAUGUAUGUUGUCUAGCCUCUAGUGGUGUUAUGUGAACGUCGACUACAUAACACUUCACUGUUAUUUAGAGGAAGGCAUUGAGAAGUAAUAAGUAGAUGAUGGGUUGCUAGAGUGACAGAAGCUUAAACCCUAGUUUAUGCGUUGCUUCGUAAGGGGCUGAUUUGGAUCCAUGUGUUUCAUGCUAUGGUUAGGUUUACCUUAAUACUUUUGUUGUAGUUGCGGAUGCUUGCAAUAGAGGUUAAUCAUAAGUGGGAUGCUUGUUCAAGUAAGAACAGCACCCAAGCACCGGUCCACCUAGUACCGAACGCGAAUCAUAUGAACGUGAUGAAAACUAGCUUGACGAUAAUUCCCAUGUGUCCUCAGGAGCGCUUUUCUCUAUAUAAGAGUUUGUCCAGGCUUGUCCUUUGCUACAAAAAGGAUUGGGCCACCUUGCUGCACUUUAUUUACUUUUUUUACUUGUUGCUCGUUACAAAUUAUCCUAUCACAAAACUAUAUGUUACCUCUUAUUUCAGUAUUUGCAGAGAAUACCUUGCUGAAAACCGCUUAUCAUUUCCUUCUGCUCCUCGUUGGGUUCGACACUCUUACUUAUCGAAAGGACUACGAUAGAUCCCCUAUACUUGUGGGUCAUCAAGACUCUUUUUUGGCGCCGUUGCCGGGGAGUGAAGCGCCUUUGGUAGGUGGAAUUUGGUAAGGAAAAAUUUAUAUAGUGUGCUGAAAUUUACUGUCACUUGUUACUAUGGAAAGUAAUCCUCUGAGGGGCUUGUUUGGGGUAUCUUCACCCCGACCAGUAGAGCAAAGAGUUACUCCUCAACCUACUGAACCUACUGAAAAUGAAAAUGUUCCCUUUGAAGUUCCUUAGGGUAUGUUAGAAAAACUGCUAGCUAAUCCUUUUGCAGGAGAUGGAACAAAGCAUCCUGAUGAGCACCUAAUCUAUGUGGAUGAAGUUUGUGGAUUAUUUAAGCAUGCAGGUAUACCUGAUGAUGUUGUUAAGAAGAAGGUCUUCCCUUUAUCUUUGAAGGGAGAUGCAUCGACAUGGUAUAGGCUAUGUGAUGAUACGGGGUCAUGGAACUACAAACGAUUGAAAUUGGAAUUUCAUCAGAAGUUUUAUCCUAUGCAUCUUGUUCAUCGUGAUCACAAUUAUAUAUAUAAUUUUUGGCCUCGCGAAGGGGAAAGCAUCGCUCAAGCUUGGGGGAGGCUUAAAUCAAUGUUAUAUUCAUGCCCCAAUCAUGAGCUCUCAAGAGAAAUAAUUAUUCAAAGUUAUUAUGCUCGGCUUUCUGAUAACAAUCGCACCAUGCUCGAUACUUCUUGUGCUGGCUCUUUUAUGAUGAAGACUAUUGAAUUCAAAUGGAGUUUAUUGGAUAGAAUUAAACGCAACUCUGAAGAUUGGGAUCUCGACAAAGGUAAGGAGUCAGGUAUGACACCUAAGUUUGAUUGUGUUAAAUCUUUUAUGGAUACAGAUGUUUUCCGUAAAUUUAGCACUAAAUAUGGACUUGACUCUGAGAUAGUAGCAUCUUUCUGUGAAUCUUUUGCUACUUAUGUUGAUCUUCCCACAGAGAAGUGGUUUAAAUAUCAUCCUCCUAUAGAAGUAAAAGUAGCUGCACCUAUUAAAGUUGAAGAAAAGACUAUCACUUAUAAUGAUCCUGUUGUUCCUACUUCUUAUGUUGAGAAACCACCUUUCCCUGUUAGGAUAAGGGAUCAUGCUAAAGCUUCAACUGUGGUUCGUAAAAGCAAUAUUAGAACUUAUACCCCUCCUGAGCAAAUUAAAGUUGAACCUAAUAUUGCUAUUGUUAAAGAUCUCUUGGCUGAUAAUAUUGAUGGGCAUGUUAUUUAUUUCUGCGGUGAAACUGCUAGAAUUGCCAAACCUUGUGCUAAAGAUAAACAUAGACCUGUGGUAGGCAUGCAUGUUAUUUCUGUUAAAAUAGGAGAUCAUUGUUAUCAUGGCUUGUGUGAUAUGGGUGCUAGUGUUAGUGCAAUACCUUAUGACUUAUACAAAGAAAUUAUGCAUGAUAUUGCACCUGCUGAGAUAGAAGAUAUUGAUGUCACAAUUAAACUUGCCAAUAGAGAUACUAUUUCACCAAUGGGAAUUGUUAGAGAUGUUGAAGUCUUGUGUGGGAAAACUAAAUAUCCUACUGAUUUUCUUGUUCUUGGUUCCCCACAAGAUAGCUUUUGUCCCAUAAUAUGUGGUAGACCCUUCUUGAACACAGUCAAUGCUAGGAUAGACUGCGAAAAGAGUGUUGUUACUAUUGGCUUGGGUGAUAUGUCUCAUGAGUUUAAUUUCUCUAAAUUUAGUAGACAACACCGUGAAGAAGAAUUACCUAGUAAGGAUGAAAUUAUUGGUCUUGCUUCUAUUGCCGUACCUCCUAGUGAUCCUUUAGAACAAUAUUUGCUAGACCAUGAAAAUGAUAUGUUCAUGAAUGAAAGAAGGGAAAUAGAUGAAGUAAUUUGUUCGAUUGAAGUAAUUUGCUCAAUUCUAUCAAUUGCUCGACAGUAAUUUGUUCACCCACUGUAAUACUUAUGCUCUUGAGAGAAGCCACUAGUGAAACCUAUGGCCCCCGGGUCUAUUUUCCAUCAUAUUAAUCUUCCAACACUUGGCUAUUUCUAUUGCCUUUUAUUUACUUUGCAUCUUUAUUUCUCUUUAUCAUAAAAAUACCAAAAAUAUUAUCUUAUCAUAUCUAUCAGAUCUCACUCUCGUAAGUGACCGUGAAGGGAUUGACAACCCCUUUAUUGCAUUGGCUGCGAGGUUCUUAUUUGUUUGUGUAGGUGCGAGGGACUUGAGCGUGGUCUCCUACUGGAUUGAUACCUUGGUUCUCAAAAAUUGAGGGAAAUACUUACGCUACUUUACUGCAUCACCCUUUCCUCUUCAAGGAAAAAACCAACACAGUGCUCAAGAGGUAGCAAGAAGGAUUUCUGGCGCCGUUGCCGGGGAGAUUCGCACCAAGUCAAGACAUACCAAGUACCCCUCACAAACCCUUAUCCCUCGCAUUACAUUAUUUGCCAUUUGCCUCUCGUUUUCCUCUCCCCCACUUCACCCUUGCCGUUUUAUUAGCCCUCUCUUUUCCGCUUGCCUUUCUUUUGCCAUGUCGGAACCAAAAAGAGUUUGGGGGUUCUCUCCCGAGUUUUAGUACUUUGGACGAUCCUUCUAUUCUAUCUAAACUCAUAAAUAAUGCUAUGGAAAAACCUGCCGGAGUUGUCAAUGAGAGUCUUAGUAAUUUUGAUGAAGAUGAUUCCAGAAUUUUUCGUUAUUUACUCGAUGAAUCUUUGAAAAAAAAAGGCGGAUUAUGGGAGUGUGUGACUUGAAUUAUUGAUUUGGCCAUGCAGAUAAAGAAUUGGAUCUGCCACAUUAGAAUUCACAACCAAAGGUGUCUCCGCAUCCAAUCAACAUGUAAGUCCCCUACCUAGGAAGGAUAGGCUGGUUCACUUGAGGAGAAUAUCUUCUAUGAUCAUACCGCAACCAUGUCAUCCAUGAACAGGCUCCGUAAGAUCCCAUAGAGUAGAAAUGGAAUAAGUCAUGUGACAUGAUCCAGUUCUCUAUUUAUUACACUUACCUUUUUAUUAUAGUAUGGAAAUGCAUUCAUUUUCUUUGCAUCGAUUGUGAUCCGCAAUACUAUCGGAGUAAAAGAAGGGAUCUAAGGAAGAAUGUAGGCUAAACUUUUUGAUUUUUUAUUAGUAACAAGUAAAUAUUUUGUUUGGAGGUAAGAAACUUGCGAUAUUGAGGGGAUAAAUACCAACUAAUCAAGAGACAUGAGACAAUACAAAUAGUUGAAGUUAAUUUUACGAAAGAAAAAAGGCGGAUUAUGGGAGUGUGUGACUUGAAUUAUUGAUUUGGCCAUGCAGAUAAAGAAUUGGAUCUGCCACAUUAGAAUUCACAACCAAAGGUGUCUCCGCAUCCAAUCAACAUGUAAGUCCCCUACCUAGGAAGGAUAGGCUGGUUCACUUGAGGAGAAUAUCUUCUAUGAUCAUACCGCAACCAUGUCAUCCAUGAACAGGCUCCGUAAGAUCCCAUAGAGUAGAAAUGGAAUAAGUCAUGUGACAUGAUCCAGUUCUCUAUUUAUUACACUUACCUGUUUAUUAUAGUAUGGAAAUGCAUUCAUUUUCUUUGCAUCGAUUGUGAUCCGCAAUACUAUCGGAGUAAAAGAAGGGAUCUAAGGAAGAAUGUAGGCUAAACUUUUUGAUUUUUUAUUAGUAACAAGUAAAUAUUUUGUUUGGAGGUAAGAAACUUGCGAUAUUGAGGGGAUAAAUACCAACUAAUCAAGAGACAUGAGACAAUCCACAAAGCAAUUGAUCAUGAUCAAAUUUGUAAGCCCACUUGGAUAUUGAGCAUUUACCCAUAAGAAUAGGAUUAUUUUCAAUGAGUAGUUGUAGGUGCAACUUCGGAAAAGAGAAUCUGAUAAAGCUUUUCUUGCCUAGAGUCAUUGAGUCAUUAUAAACCUUAAUUCUAUUAAGGAUCUUCCGCGGUCUUAUUUCUUUCACUCUUGCUCGAGCCGGAUGAUGAUAAAUUCUCAUGUCCGGUUCCUUUGGGGGAUGGAUCCUAAAGAGUUCACCUAUCCCAAUAACAAAGAAACCAGACUUAAAUGAUCCUGUAUUAAGAGCUAAAUUAGCUAAAGGGAUGGGACAUAAUUAUUACGGGGAACCCGCAUGGCCCAACGAUAUUUUAUAUAUUUUUCCAGUAGUAAUUCUAGGUACUAUUGCAUGUAAUGUAGGUUUAGCGGUUCUCGAGCCAUCAAUGAUUGGUGAACCGGCAGAUCCGUUUGCAACUCUUCUGGAAAUAUUACCCGAGUGGUACUUCUUUCCCAUGUUUCAAAUACUCCGUACGGUACCCAAUAAGUUAUUGGGCGUUCUUUUAAUGGUUUCUGUGCCAACAGGCUUAUUGACAGUACCUUUUCUAGAGAAUGUCAAUAAAUUCCAAAAUCCAUUUCGCCGCCCAGUAGCUACGACCGUUUUUUUAAUCGGUACUGUAGUAGCUCUUUGGUUAGGUAUUGGAGCAACAUUACCCAUUGAUAAAUCAUUAACUUUAGGUCUUUUUUAGAUAUUUUUUGAUUCAUUCAACCGUGAAGUACCAUAGGUAUCUACGAAAUAGUUACUUCCAAGUGAAUCUUCCCUAGAUACCUAAAAUCCAUUUUAUUAUGAUCCAUUUCGCGAAAAUAUAGAUUGUACCAAAGAUGCUAAAUUGUUUUCUUUUUAUUCUAACUCGAAAAAGAAGAAGAAAAAAAUUUGCAAUGGAUUUAAAACGAGAGUUUAUUCUUAAGUAAAUCAAUUGGGAGAUGCUUCUCUAGAGUGUCCCAUAUAUGUUUUCUAUCUUCCAUACGAAAACUGUCAAUUCUCAGAAGAUCUUCUUCAGUCUUACUCAAAAGGUCCAAUAGUGUAUGUAUAUUGGCCCUUUUUAGACAAUUAUACGUUCUAGAAGUCAAUUCUAAUUGAUCAAUAAAAAUACAAUUCAAUGGAAUUCCUUUUUUGUUUUUCUUUAGAUUAGUUAAUCUUUUUUGAAAAGUAAAAAGGGGUGGAGUAAACCUGUUUUUAUUUUCUUCGAAACUAGCGCCCUCUUCCUCCGCGUGUAGAAAAGGAAGAAAUAAAUCAAUCAAAUUACGAGAAGCCUCAUAAAGUGCUUCCUUAGGGGUUAAACUUCCAUUAGUCCAUAUUUCUAGAAAAAGUAUCUCGUGUUUUUCAUUUUCAUUCCCACAAGAAAAAAUACUAUAAUUCACAUUUUGAACAGGCAUGGAUACAGCAUCUAUAGGAUAACUUCCAUCUUGAUAGUUCUUUCUGAGUUCUGUCUGAUAUCCACGAUCUCUCUUGAUCUGUAAAUCAAUACAGAAAUCAAUGGGCUCUGUCAAGUUAGCUAUAGGUUGUGCCGUAUCAACGAUUUCUACGGAAGGCGGUAAGAUGAUAUCUUGAGCAGUUAUGUAUCUAGGACCUUUGACGCAAAUGGAUGCGUCUCUAACUCCAUAGAGAUUACUUCUCAAUACAAUUUCUUUCAAAUUUAGUAAAAUUUCUUGUACGGAUUCUUCAAUACCUGCUAUUGUAGAAUACUCGUGCGGCACGCUCCCAAAUUUUGCACGUGUGAUACAUGUUCCUUCUAUUUCUCCAAGUAAAGCUCUUCGCAAGGCAAUACCGACGGUGUCCGCUUGACCUUUUCUAAGCGGGGACAGAAUGAAACGACCAUAAUAAAGGCGCUUACUAUCCACUCUUGAUUCAACACACUUCCACUGUAGUGUUUGAGUGGAUCCUGCUACCUCCUCUCGAACCAUAAUAGACUAGUAUUAUUAUUUUAUCAUUGAAUCGUUUAUUUCUCUUGAAAUGAAAGUUGAAAGCGGGUUAAUUCUUUUACAGACGUCUUUUUUAGGCGGUCGACAUCCAUUAUGCGGCAUAGGUGUUACAUCGCGUAUACAACUUAAUCGCACACCACUUUUAGCAAUGGCUCGUAAUGCGGCAUCUCUUCCACUACCAGCGCCCUUUACCAUAACUUCUGCUCGUUGCAAACCUACUGUACGAAUAGCAUCUACUGCUGUUCUUUGACCAGCAUAGGGUGAUGCUUUUCUUGAGCUUUUGAAUCCACAAGUACCGGCCGAGGACCAAAAAACCACCCGACCUUGUGGGUCUGUAACAGUUAUAAUGGUAUUGUUGAAACUAGCUUGAACAUGAAUAACCCCUUUUGUUAUUCUACGUGCACUCUUCCGUAAACUAAAACGUGCAUUCCUACGUAAACCAAUACGCACUUUCUUACGUGAACCAAUUUUUGGUAUAGCUUUUGCCAUAUUUUAUUAUCUCAUAAAUAUGAGUUAGAAAUAAAAAAAGAAAAAAGAUACAAAUAUAUCCGUUUCAGGGUAAAAUAAACCCUUUACUUUAAUUAUUUUAAAUGAAAUUAUUUUAUUUGGAAUUGGAACAUUUCCGCGGGUACUUUUUUUUUACUUUUUAGAAAGUAAAGUUCUUUUUCGAAAGAUUACCCCUGUCUUUGUUUAUGCUUCGGAUUAGAGCAAAUGACUCUAAUUCGUCCACGCCUACGAAUCAGUCAACAUUUUGUACAAAUUUUACGAACGGAAGCUCUUAUUUUCAUAUUUCCGUAUCCUUUUUUAAACUAUGAAUCUAAUCUUUUGGAAAAAAUAAGUCUCUUCGCUUGAAUUUUAGAACUUAGAAUUUAUUACCCUAGAAAAAAAAAGAAAAACCUAAUCCUUUGAAUCUUUGGUAUCCUUCAAAUCUUCGCUAUCCUUCAAAUCUUCGCUAUCCUUCGAGUCUUCGAUACGCUUCGAAUCCUUAUGGGGAAGUCUAUAAAUUAUAUGUCCCUUGCUUGAAUCAUAACGACUUACUUCAAUUUUGACCCUAUCCCCCAUCAGUAUUCGUAUAGAACUAGACCGUAUCUUUCCUGAAAUAUAGCCUAGGAUGAUGGUGUCAUUCUCUAGCCGAACGCGGAACAUUCCAUUGGGUAGGGCUUUCGUAACUAAACCUUCGAAAGUUACUUUUGCUUCUCUCGGGUUUUUCUUUCUCUCCUAUUUUUUUUUCUGUCAUAUUUUUCUCUCCUAUUUUUCUAUUUUUAUUUUAAAAAUAGGAAGGGCGAGAUUCGAGCACUAUAGGCGGGGCGAUUACCAUAUAUAACAUAAGACUUCUCCCCCAAUUCUGUUUAGUCGAGCUUCUCGAUCUGUCAUUAUUCCUCGAGAAGUAGAAAGAAUAGCAAUUCCCAUUCCACCCAAAACUUUAGGAAUUCCUUGAUAGUUGGUAUAAAUUCGUAAGCCGGGUCGGCUGAUACGCUUUAAAAAGGUUCUUGUUCUAUAUAUUCCUUUUCUAGUCUUUCUCUUUUGAUGUCGCAAAGUUGAAACCAAGAAAUAUCUGUUACGUUCCUGAUGUUUCCGAACACUUUCAAUAAAACCCUCUCGUAGAAGUAUUUUAACACUACUCGAACUGUUCCUUUUUUAUUCAUGUCCGCAUUUCUUAUAGAGGUUAGUAAAUCAGCAAUAGUGUCCUUGCCCAUAAGACUCUAAUUCUAGGUUCCUCCUAAUUUUUCUAUAAUCAACAUGUUUUUUUUUUCAUUUUGGAUUUUAAAACAUAUACGUAAAACACAAUCUACUAAAUUAAUUCUUUGGUCUCAAUUUCGCCUACUAGUAU
rnacentral:lncRNA from 1 species